CAAGUACAUUACUGUGGCAGACAAACGCCAGAAGGACCAUCUUUCACAGGCAGAAACAUUGUCAGCAGGCCAGUUGCUGAAAGCUGCUGAGAUGAAAGAAGACACUAGCAUUCUUGUGCAUAUUCAAGACAAAGACUGUGUGUCUCUGGAGGUGCGAUACCACAAGUCCUGUUACAGACAGUACACCAGGUUCUUGACAAAGUCUACUGCAACAGUUACUGGGACCUCAGAAGAACAGUGAGUUAUUAUAUUGCAUUAUCAAAUGAUAAUUAAAAAUUGUGGUACAUUUCAAAAGUAAAGCAUUGACCAUCUACAUAGUCUGUAUAUUUGUCUGUAAACAGAGUUUUGACUGCACAAAUCUUGGCACAGCAAUUCAAUAUGAUCAAAUGUGUAGUGGAAGCCAACCUUCGAUGCCAGCUACAAGAUCUUCUGUGAGAGGAUCAUCCGCCAUAGAAUAAUUGUAAACCAAGAGGUGCUGACAAUGAUGCAGCUAAGAAGAAUCUUUUUAAAUCUUGUGAAAAAACAAGAAGAUCUUGAUGCUUCAAACUACAGGCAGGAUAAAUUGAAGAGGAGGUUGAUCCGUGAUUUCCCCCAGCUGGUGUUUCA